GACGAACGCUGGCGGCGCGCUUAACACAUGCAAGUCGAACGGAAAGGCCUGCUUUCCCUUGUGGAUUGCGGGUACUCGAGUGGCGAACGGGUGAGUAACACGUGAGUGAUCUGCCCCCAACUUGGGUAUAAGCCUGGGAAACUGGGUCUAAUUCCCGAUAGGACUGCAGGGUGGUGCCUGUGGUGGAAAACGAUUUUCUAGUGGUUGGGGAUGAGCUCGCGGCCUAUCAGCUUGUUGGUGGGGUAAUGGCCUACCAAGGCGGCGGCGGGUAGCCGGCCUGAGAGGGUGGACGGCCACAUUGGGACUGAGAUACGGCCCAGACUCCUACGGGAGGCAGCAGUGGGGAAUAUUGCACAAUGGGCGGAAGCCUGAUGCAGCGACGCCGCGUGGGGGAUGACGGCCUUCGGGUUGUAAACUCCUUUCGACCGCGAGGAAGCCACCUGGUUGGAAGGGUGGUGACGGUAGUGGUAGAAGAAGCACCGGCUAACUACGUG
rnacentral:rRNA from 1 species